rnacentral:lncRNA from 1 species
UAAACCACUAGGAUAAACAAGAGUAAAAGAGGGAAUCACCAGAAGUUUCCACCAAUAAGGUCACUGGGGACAUUUAUAUCUGAAUCUCAAAACCUGACUCCUAAAAGCAUGAAGAGUGAUGACAGCAAAAAAACAGAAUUCGGAAGGCAGCAGGGCUUCCUAGGCAGGCAUGGCCCCAUCCUGGUGGACGGGAUCCCAGAUCAUCCAAUAAAUAAAGGGACCCAACAGGCGAAUUAUUAAACAAAUACCUCAAGUUUACCAUUCUUUUCAAAUGUACAAAGAAUGUAAAUCAAGCAUCAUUUCAUCGAGACAAGGAGAACUUUAAGCAAGAUCCUCCUAUCUUUUAGAAGGCACAUCAUCACAAUCCAUGAGAAAAUGUUUUUCAAAGCAUCCUUGACGCAGCUGUCCUUUGCACAGUGUUGUGGAUUUUUUAUCCUGAACUUCCCUGCAUGUAAAGCAAAACAUCUGCUUAGGGAUGUUUCAUCACUGAUGACACCUAUAACUAUUGGCAAUUACUCUUUUUCUAGUUCAUAACUGUUUGGCAUUUAUUUUAAAGGUGGCAACCUUAGAAAAGACAAAAAUGACUGAUCUCUUGAGCAGGCUCCAAAUGUCACAUUGUGAAAGAUGUUGUUUUACCAUCAGCAUAUGGCAUCUGUCUGGGUGCCUUAAAGAAGUCUCUAACUGGAAAAGCAAUGUUCCCUUAGCAGGAUCUUUGUGUCUCCAGCUUUUAGGCAGCCUUAACUGAAACACCAUUCUGAAUAUUAUUUACCUUCAACUUAAUUUGAUCCUCAGGAAUUUACACAUAGUUUAAAGUUUCAGAAUAAAUUCCUCAACUAACUCCUCAUUAAAUUUACUUGAAGGGUUCUUUUAUGAUUAAAACAAGCUGGUUCCCAGAAGACUGUAUCUGCAUAAAUGUACACAUUAGACUUUAAGACUGCCCACAUCCUGGUACUGUGGUUGCCUGUGCUUUUUAAUGAAGAGUGAGCUCCACAGCGUAUUUGCUGCGCCAGGAAUCAAGAUACUUUCAGUAUGCUGCCAGAUAAGGGAUUUAUUUGAGCCUUUAUUAAGGCCUUCUUAUUUUGUAUUCUGUGUUUCAUUCAAAACUAUUCUUUUUCUCAAAACGUUAUGGUUAUAGUUGAUAAUGAAAUGGGCAGAAGACAAGCAGGACCGUGCAGUGAUGGAUGCUAUGGCAACUGGAACAGGCCUGAAAAAAUGCUUUCGUGUAGAGUUUUUAAGUCAGAAAAAUUAUAACAAGAGAAAGCUAAUUAGCAAUUUAAGUAGGCACCUUUGACUGGAGAAGUGAAGGGCUCUGGAAUGUUAGCAGCUGAUAUUGCUACAGCUUAUGCGAAAGUGCUUUUAGUUUGUUGCAUGCUGUUUCACUGCAUCUCAAGGAAUACACAUUUAAAUGCAUGCUAGCUCUUAGCCAGUUUCUUCCAGGGUAAAUCCAGACUCCCACAGCAGGAGAAGGGGCUGUGGCAAUGGAAAGAAACAACCAGCCGGCUAUGGCCACUCAAUCGGUGGUGAACAAGCUAAUGAAUAAAGAUGUUAGUGCUUUCAGGAAUGAGCCAUGAGCAUGAAAUUUGAAGAAAUGAUGGCUUUAAUGCCUUCAUCUAACAAAUGUAGCCUGAAGAUUUUCUAACUUAAAAAUACUUCUCUAGUUUCAGAAAAUCUGCCUUCUCCCAGUACAAGUGACCAAGUUAAGCUGGGAAAGUACACCCUGAGUCCUCCCUAUCACUUGAGCUCCUGUGUGGCAUUUAGAAGCAACCUGCUUGAUUCUGGAGAGCAGCAGAUUCUGUCUCUCCUAUGGACAUAUAUACACAUAUGCCUUUGUGACAUUGGAUUCCAAGUCCAGCACUGGACUCUCAAGAUGUGUUGGGCACCUAUCCUGAGCUGAUGCCCGAGUUAUCCUCCCUCCAAAUAAUACAUCUCUUCCUUCACCUCCUCUAAACAAUAUGCGCUUAUACAAGUGGAUACUAAUAUCAUCACAUUUCACAAGAGAAUUAUUUACCAGUUUGAAGAUGGAAUGCCAAAACAUCAGAAAAAGAAAAGUAUAAACGACUCUUUGAUGGCAAGUGCCCACUGAGACUAUGUCCAAUAAAUAUAACAUCUACUUCAGGCACACUGUGCUGUUGAUCUCUAUAUUCCUCAAAACAACACACUGGGUACAGCAGCUCUGCUUUGUACAUGCAGGACCACCAGCACUCCUAGCUCAGGUAUGGUGCCAUCGGACUCACUACAGGGGAUGAGAGGGUCACUAUAUACAAGCCCGAUGAGUUUAAUCAGGACACCAGCCUGCAGAACUGCUCAUGCAAAUGCUGUGCCCAGAAUUUCUAGACCCUAUGAUAACACUCUUUACAGACAGUCCUUAAGGGUUUGACCACCUUCACAUGAUGACAUAGUCUGUUCUCACUGCAGUCCAAGGCACAGCUUGCAAGGCUUGCAAGAUCAGUACCUGCACCAGGCAUGUGGGAUGCAUGCUGCCAUCCUAACCUCACUAUGGCUUUGUAAAGCACGGAGCUGGCCAAGGUUCCUCUGUACUGGCAUGUGUAACCUGUAGACGAGAUAACUCAUGGAAAAGGGAGAGCUGACUGUUAGAGGAAUGCUAUCCUCUAGUUUAAGCAGUCUGCAUCUGCAUUGGAGUAGGAGGAAUCGAUUCCCAGACCCUAGAGUGUCCUUGUACCUCUCCUGUACAACUCUAAGAUCUCUCUUAUUAUUCCUAGUUAACAGUGAACCAGUGGUCAGCAGUUCUGCAGAUUUUUGAUAAUCACAUCACAUAGCGUGCAGCAGCACAACACAGAUCAGAUGAGCUUCACACAGAGAGUUUGCUGUGCUAGCUGAAAUUUUUGCUUGUUCACGUCAAAGUCAAAAGGAACAGUUCGAUAGUCAGUAUCUCAACAACAACAAAUCGCAGGAGUGUUUCUGCAGGGUCUUUGUAACUGCAUCAAAUUUGGCUGAAUAUAAAAGACUAUGGAACAGAAACAGGCUUCUAUAAGGAUCACAAGCUCUUCUAAAUUAGAUGUUGACCUUUCUGUUCCACAACUUCAGAGACUAUUUUCCUUAAAGUAGCCUCAGCGGCUACUCUUUCUAAAGAAAAUAAAUGUUGUUUUAGUUCUGCUGUUGGGGGCUGCACGCUGCUUAGGUAGUAACAGCUGCUCAGGUGACACAGAAUGAAGAACUAAAGUGCUCUCUUUGGUAAGAAGAAGUAGGUGAUACAUAAAAGUAUGCUUCUUGAUCAUGUCCUGCACAGAGAAUACAUGAGAGUUCAGUAAACUGAUUCUGGUUUAUUAAGAAAGCAAUAUUGUUUUUAGAGACAAGUGCCUUAAGAACAUCCUCUUAUUCUGGUCCUGUGAUGGCUCAGAGGUGUGGAACACAGACCAGCUGGAGCCCUGUCCUGUUACCCUACUGCACCUGCACAGUCCCAGGCUGUUCUGGGAGUGUUGGUUGAUACAGGUACAGUCCUGAAGAUUUGACUUCUUUUGCAGUUCAGGCUGGAGCAGUUCAGGCAGCUCACAAGAACAGAGAGCACAUACAGGCUGACAUGUCACCAGCAGCUAUAAGCUUCCAGCCAGGGAAGACAAGAGCCCAAAUACAUCCAGAAGCAUACAAAGGAGGUCAGGCCCAGGAUGACAGACAUCAACAAUCAUGACACUUAGAGAGAGCAUUAGGUAGAAGCAGCUUGCAGACUGGAUAGGAUGCCUCCCACCCCCCUCAUCCUUCUCCCCACACACUGAGAUGAGUGACCAGGAGAUUAAGCUGUAAACCUAUAGACAUUCUCCAGCUUCCAAGGGGACUGAGAAGGUCAGUCACUCCCAAGAGCAGUGAGACCAGAAACAACAGUGGUGCACCUUUUAAGCCAGGUAACCAAUUCCUGCCCCCUAGAAAAGCUAUUGACAUAUAAGAAAUAAUAUUGUCCCUCACAAGCCAUGGUAACAGUUAAGUCCCCCACACCCCGUGGUUCACAUCUCUUGAUUGCCAACUUCUGUUAUUGAAUCCAUCUGUCACACCAUAAUAUUGAGCUGGAAACAGUGGCAAACAAACAAGGAACUUUUCCAGAGCUGUAACACAAGAUAUUCAGCAGUUCCAAUAAGAACCUCCUAACCCUCAUCUAAUUGACGUAUGUAACCAACAAAAAAAAAAAAAAUGACUCAAACCCAAAAUACGAACCACAAUUUGCUCGUUGGGUUGUUUUUAUUUUUUAAUCAAUUCAGCAUAAUUAUUUCCUCUUGAUUUGUGGGGUUUUUUUUCUACAUGGAAAGGCAGAGGCUUUAUGAGUGUGUGCCCAAGACGCCUUUUGAGUCAAGGCAAUAUAUUUGUCUCCAGUGUUGCUGAAAAGGAACCUGAAGUUUCCUUUAGAGCCUUUUCCUGAACAUCAGCCCACGGUCAUAAAAAUCUGGUCAGGUGUUCUGCUGUGCUCUCAGGUUUAUUUCUACUCUGCUCUGUGGAGCGAGAUGCCUUGUGCCAGCAGCAGUGACCUAGCUUGGAGCCAGGGCACAGCAGCUGCACAAGUGCAGUGCCACACUGACAUGUCCUCUGCUUUCAGCACACAGAUGAGUAUCUUUUAUGGCUUUGUUCUAUGCUAUGUAGAUGAAACUGCUUACUCAGUGCCUUAUGGCCAUACCAUUCCAAUUUUCCAGCAACUGCUCCCCAUUUUCUCUGUCUCAAAAUAUCAAGCAGAGAGAAGAAAUGCAUAGAUUUUCUGAAAUACCCUUUAAGGUUUUUGCUCUAGCUCCAUCCAUUGAGGAGAGCAGAUUUGGAACAAUGAGAUUCCAAAGAUUGCCUCUAUUCUAUGCAAGAAAUUCUCCUGUGAUCAGUUUGUUGCUAGCAUAUAAUUACUCUUCUUAGGUCGUUCUUUGUUUGUUGUAGGUUUUGUUUUCUUUCCAAGAUGGCUUAAAGCUAAAAUUCCUCUUCUGUAGCUGGGAGAGGUUACAUAGACCACUCUUGUCAGGUCAAGAUUCCAACAACUGUGGGAGUUCCAUACAUGCACCGCCAGUUGAGUUGGACCCACAGCUGCUGUGUCCAUGCUUCAGUGCUUGCUGCCUGCUGCCUGCUGCUUGACAGCCAGCUGGAAAAGUGGAAUACUCAAGACCAAGCUCUACUCCUGGUGCAACCCCUGCAGAUUUACAUAAAAUCUAGGUGGCACAUAGGGUAUUGUAAAAGCCAUUAAAUGAGUGGCUGUUGUUUGUGCAGAAAUACCUUAUAAGUGCUGAUGGUUUGUUGAUUAACUGCUGCUAUUGUCAUCCCAAGGACUGUAAGAGUAAAGCAUGCUCUUGAAUGGACAGAUAAUAACUUUGAGGGGAGAAAAAGGUAUUUUUAUUAAAUUUUAGUAUCACUGAAUCUAUGGGACUAAAACACUGCCGAUACCAAUACCGCAGUAGUCCACCAGCAUGUCAGCUCUCCAUGCUCCUGUGCCUCAGGAUCUGUCUCUGUGUGUCUUUUUUUGUCAUUAGCUUGUUAAAACUGCUGUUAUUUCUAGGCUUAAUAAAGUUGCUUAAGGAAAAAUCUUUCUCAAGGGAGUAGUUAAUUUGAUCUUUUAUCUUAAGCUACUGUUUUUCAUUUAGUUUUCUAAGCAAAUAAAAGUUCGAUUAACAUGUAUAUGUAUACAAUAAUGGAACGGUUUCCAAGCAUCUUCCUUGAAAUCUCUAAGGUGUCAUUCAAUGAGAUUACAUAAGAGGAUUGCUAAUUUCAUUUGCAGCUCUGUUACCCUAUUUGAAGUGCUUGGGAAAUAACACUCCAUUUUAACAUGAAGUAGAACACAGAAAGGUUAACACUCAAGGUCCGUAAUUAAGAUCUAGCUGCAAAGUGAUCUGUGCACAGAUGCCUUUCCCAUUUUCCAGUCAAUAUAAAAACUGAAUAUUAUUUCAGCUUUAUUAUCAAUCUGAAUCUCAUUACCAGCUACUUUAAUAAAUAGCAUUUGUUAAAUAAAAAUAAAUAUUACCCUUGAACACUGAAGGUAGAUCUGAUUCUCUUUUUCUCACCCACAGCUCCGUAUUAAAAAUUAAAUAUGCCACUAUGCCCUAGAAAGAGGAGAAACACAUUCCUUGAGUGAUGUCCUGUUACAGAGAGAUGCCUUCAGGUGCCUUUACCACUUACACUGCAGUUGAUCUGAAUUUUGAUUGCCAAAGGUUGGAAGGAAAAUAACCAACCUACCAAGGAAAAAAAAAACAUCUCCUGCUUAUCCUUUUUUAUAUUUUCUUUAAAGAUCUUCUUCUCUAUCUGUCACGGAAAUGUUGCCAAGCUUAGGUGUGUAUCCAGUUUUUCAUACUCAUAGGUGAUGCAUAUCUCUAGUGUCAAUAAACCAGACCCAACAGCUCUGGCUGCUUCACUUUUAUGUACAGUGCUGGCUUCUUUGGUGGUAUUACUAACUAUGGUCUUGCCAAAGUUCUUCAAACUUUAUUUGUGUGCUGUUCCUUCUUUGUCAUAUUAAAUCUCUGACAUCACUGCUUUUUCUAUCUACUGCAAUGUUCUUGUUGAAAACAGAGCUCUGGAAUUUGCAUUUGGGUUGUGUGGCUAACUGGAAGACUUCAACUAUUUCAGAAAUGGUUUAUGUAUACAACAAGUAAAUGUUGUAAAUGAGAAACUGGAACCAAAUCAAUACUAUAAAAGAAAUUUGAGAAGGUUCAUCAAGUUGUCUGUCAGCAGCCUCAUUCUCUCUAAUUCUUUUAUUAAAACCAGCUUUUAGUAGUUUAUUAUAUGAGAUCAUUUAGGUUGAAACACAAACCCUAUUCACCCCGUGACCAGAGAGUCUCCAGGAGUAGCUGAAAUUGUACAAUUCCACUUUAAAAAAGGAAGAGCUGAAAAAGAGUAAGUAGCAUAGAGAAAUCCACAGCUUUCUUUUGAAUCCCGUAGCCAUGUUACAUGAGGGCUUUUUCCAUAAAAAUAUUUUCUGACUGUGCUGUAAAUCAGUAUACGGCUGCCCUUCAGGUAGGAGGAGAAAGGAUUCAUCUUGGAAUUUUCCUCCAGCAAAGCUCUUUACUUUUUCUUCUUGAGAUAAGAUCGAUUUCAUCCUUAGAUGAUGAUUAGCACUUUAUUUCUUCAUUCUCUGCUACCUGGGAAUAAAUCCUUUCACACUGGUGUUUGAGUAGCUUUUCAGUGCUUUACAUCUUUGAGCACUUAAGAACUAAUCACAUCCUCAAUACAGUCUUUGUGUGCUGGAUUAUCUAUGGCAACAGAAGAGGAACAAUCUCUCCCAGCAGGCUGGAGCACCCUGUUGGCCAGCCUUUAUUCCCUGAUAGGAGGGUGAAGCUGAGAUUUCUUGCAACUUUGACCUUCAUUAGUUCACCAUUCCAGGUAUUCUGAAGGAACGACACUCCAGGUUUGAACUGAAAGAAGGCUUCCACCCAGCACACAUCCUGGCUGGCCAGACUGUCCAAUCCUGUCUGGUUUUCUAAUCAUAGAAUCAUACAACAGAUUGGAAGGGACCCCAAGGAGUUCCAGCCCUCCUGCCGUGGGCAGGGACACCUCCCACUUGAUCAGUGCCCAGGGCCCCGUCCAUCCUGGCCUUGAACGCCUCCAGGGAUGGGACAUCCACAGCUUCCCUGGGCAGCAAGUACCAGUGCCUCACCGCCCUCUGAGUAAAAUAUUUCCUCCUAUUAUCUAACCUAAAACUUCCCUCUUUCUGCUUAAAACUAUCCCUUCUUGUUCUAUCACUAUCUGCCCAUGUAAAUUGUCAGUUUCCCUCCUGUUCAUAAGCUCUCUUUUAGUAUUAGAAGGACGCAGUGAGGUUUCCCCAGGCUGAACAAGCCUGGCUCCUACAGCCUUUCCUCAUAGGAGAGGUGCUCCAGCUUCUAAUGCUGCCACCUCUCCAAACAGAAACUGCUAUGUGACUUCAGCUGCUUUCUGGGUGGCAUUGGGCUGUUCAUCAUGAAUACCUAUUGAUAAGAACCACAUGCCCAAGGAAACAAGUACCAAGUUUUAAAACAGUUGUAUACCAACUGAGAACAAUUCUCUAAAAGGCUUUGGGCAGAGAGGAGGAGACCUUGUGGACAUGGUUCUGAAGACAAUUUAGAUGUAGUUGGUAAAUCAGUUACCAUUACUCUCUUUUUAGACCAAAUCUUUGCCGGCUUCUGGUUUUCUGCCCCAGGUCCAGAGGAGAAGGGCCAUCUUGGCACUGACAGCUGCCAGGAGAUGAGGCCAGUCAGGUGCUGGCAAAAAUGAAAGGGAUGCUCUCAAGCUGGAGACACAAACUAAAACCAAGAAAUUAGGAAGCUGGGAAGACCAGUGUGCUACUAGUAGGCAUGGUGAGGUGCAGGGCUGGUCUAAUAGAUGUUAACUCCCAGUUUCUCUGGAAACUGUAUUUUCCCAGGCAGAAGAGACAAUGCAGCUCACAGCCACGCUCCCCCACCCCUCCCAGCUGGGCUGAGCACAGCUUUAGAGCAGCUGAAAACCUAGCCUUUAAUCUUAUUUCUCUGGACAAAUGGAUGAAAGCCAUGUAUCAUCCUUUCCUUGUUGACUUUUACUUCUGGCACCAUUUGUUUUCAUUUCAUUUUAAGGUCAUGAUGAAUUGUAUUGGGUAAAAAUGACUUAAUAAUGAAAUUAAUAAAAUGCAAGAAUGUUGAAGUAAUACUAUAAACACAUCUUUUGGCAAACAGUUCAGCGAGAGAGGCCUUAUCAGAUUAUUCUAUUAUUACAUUUGGUAAAUGUACCUAACCAAUUCCUCAGCAUAAAUUUUAAGAUAGCACAGGCAAUUAACCACCCUUUGCAGCCAGUAGAUUCACAGCUUUCAAAAAACACAGCAAGGUUUGCUGCAGAAACUCUCCAGUCUGAAGACUGGAAUCUAACUGAUGGCUUUAAUAUAAAUUUCUAGCAAAAUGUUCCAUUGAACAUAGAGAGAUACUACCUGAAUGUUGUCUGAGAGAAGUGUAGGAAAACCAGGAACUGGCAAAAUGGGGUCCCAAAGUCACAAUAAAAGUGAUUCCUUGAGAUAGAAAGUUCUGUUUGUUCUUUAAAGCUGAGAGCAAGAGAAGAAAAAGUAUUAUUUGAUAUCUAACUGAAUACUUUACAUUCCAGUCAGAGAAAGCAAGUAUGUGAAUCAUCCUGCAACAUAUCAGCUUAAGGCAACAAAGGAAAAAUAGUCCAUGGGAAGAUGAAAAUAAAAUGCCUAUUAAAAUUGACUCUUUAGGAAUAUGUUGGUUUCAUAGACAGAGACAUGGCAUGUCACACCAUGGGCCAUGAACUUACGAGUAGCUAGUAACAUGGGAUCAGAUGGAGGAAAUGAAGGCGACAAAAGGAUGCGUCUCUUGAAGCAAAAAAAUAAUCAUGGCAACACUUCAUUCAUGGGUAAGUAAAAGCUGGGUCUGGAAGGGGUUCAUCAAUGGACAAAAUGUGAAAUGAUUUUACAGAGCUUUGAAGGCUGAGCAUAAUGUCUGCACUGAAUGUGCAGGAGGUGCUGCUGUUUUUGCACAGAGGACCACCUGAUGACACAAUUUUUUCUUCCACAGAAAAUGAUUAAGUGCAUUCUGUCAAUUAACUUCUAACCUUCUCAUAAUAGACAGCAAAAGACUAUUUUAAUUAAGCACAGCAGUGAAUUAAAGAUGUAUGCAUUGAGUAAAAUUGCUUUUUUCUUUUUACAGUUACAACAAGAUCAUCUGACUCCAAUGAUAAUCAGCCAGUCCACAGGAUCACCAUUAGCUCAGUCCGUGAAACACCUGAACAAAUGCCAAAGGAACUUGGAUGUAUUCCUCAUUCUGCAUUUUCUUUAUUUUUUUCAUUUAAACAUCUGUUUUCCCAUGUUGACAUAUGAGCUCAUAACUUACAGAACAAAGACAGCCCAGGCCUUCAUGCAAUGGCAUGCCUGUGUAGGUAGUGCUGGCCUUUCUAAUGCUUUCGAGGUACCAGUUCUGCUCUUUAGAGUUGCCAAAAUUUAUUGCCACUAUGUAAAGAAUGAAAAGAGGCACUGAAAACUUCUUACACAGGGUAUCACUUUGAGAACACAGUCAGAAGUUACAGCAUAAUGUAAUGAGGGGUAUUGGUUAAAUACAACUUUUUAAGGAAAACAUGACCACGAUUACUUCAUGAAUAGCAAUGCUAUGACCACUAUCACACAUCACUUCUAUUUAACUGCACAACACCAUAGCAUUUUCAAAACAAAUGGAACACGUGCCCUAUGCUGAAGCUCCUACAUUUUAGGAUCACAGUCCUGUAAAACAUGCACUUUUUGCAGAUCCUGGGGACCUCUUCAACACCCAAUGGAAGAGAAUUCCAAUGCCAGUUUUACCAGACUCUUGGACAAGCACAGAUGGCAGGAGCGAUGGAUUCGUAGAUCUACAUUCAGCAGAUGCAAAAGAACACAAUUUGGGGCUAUUUUUCUCACAGUGUGUUGUACUGAGGUAAAAACUGUGUGUUGUCUGUAUAGCACAGGAAUGGACAAGUGUUCCUGCUGCCUGGUUCGAGGGGCAGGCUGAGGAGGACAGGGAGUUAUGAUCCCUAUGUUCCAGACAAAUGGAAUCCCCUGUAGAGUGACAGAUGGUGCUUCAGCUUCUCCACUGCCUCAGCAUCUGUGCAGCACAUCUGGCCAGCUGCUGCUUAAAAGGACAAGGACACCUUCCUAUCACACCUUCCAAAUUUCUCUCAAACAUUUUCUUGUACUGAUUAUCUUUGCUACUCAACAAUGAAUGAGGCUGGAGAGCUAAACCAGCACCCAACUGUUUGCAUUUUCCAGUGCUGGUUUUCUGCUAAAUUGGCCUCCUGAUCCAGCUCCCUGUGAGUGGUCAUGGACAUUUCACUGCAGUUGGGAUGAGCCUCUGCAUCUCCAGGGUUGACCCCAGGCCACCAGGAUAUGCAGAAACCUUCAGCACUUCGGGACUGAUGCUGGUUCUCCAAACUCUCACCCUACAAACAAACUGCUUCUCACCAGCACCUUUCUCCCAGACAAUCUGACAGGAUCAGAAAGGAUUUCCCAUCCGCAGUGUCAGGGAUCUUCUGUGACAGGAAUGCACAGCCUUGCUGGGAUGAGUGGAGAUGAAAGCCACCUCCAUGAAGGCUCGGGACCUUCUGACUGAUGCUUGUGUUCACCAAACAAGCAUUUCCACACUAUGAUUAAUUGUGUUGUCUCAUCAAUGAAGUAAUGCUGCUGUUGUGUUCUGGUUCAGGGUUCUUCUGAAGAGCUUCUCUCUCCUCUGUGAGGGUGCUGGGAGGUCUUGUUGUAUGCUCUUGCAGAAAGUGAUGGCAGCACUUGGCCCCUAGCAGGAGCAUCGGUCCAGAUGUCUACAUCUUCAGUCAUAUAUAUAUGGAACCAUAGAAACCUAUGAAGCUGCUUUUAGCAGGCCCUGCAGAAAUUCAACUAGAUGCUGUCCCUGCCCUAAGAGACUUGCAGUCUAAUCUGGGAGAAGAUCAAAUGGAAAAGGAAAAAGAAAAACAUUAAAUAAUAACAGCAAAUGUUUAUAUAGCUGCUUGCACAACACAGUAACUAUAAGGAGCUACAGUCUUAAAGAUUCAAACAAAAUUAACUAUUAAGAGGAAGCACUCUGUAUUUGCACAGAGAAUCCAGGGAAGAUUUUGAGAAACCAAGAUGAUGACACAGUAGACGCAGACCUUCAAAGUUUUCAGGUACCUAUCUCCCAUGGGAGCUACCAGUGGAAGGGAAUGUGGUUGUCUGAUGAUUGCAGUGCUUUGCAGUACGGCUGAGAAACUCAAGCCCAACUCUAUGCAAUCUCGGGUACUGCGACAAGAGUGCUCCCUCUCCUACUACAUCCAACUGGAUUCAGACUGCAUUUUUCAUACUUGUGCUAAAUCACAACAGGGCUCAGACUGCCCUUUCUCCACCACUCCUUGCUCCUGUGUAUACUCAAUCUGGGAAAUACUGUACAUAAAGUUCCAGCAAUGCGGGGAUAGAGGAACUUUGUGCUUAGGAGAUCUCACGCCUAAAUCAAAAGUCCAGGACACAGCCAAUUUCCAAGUUACUUUUAAAAAUCAGAUAGUGUAAGCAAAUUUAUGUAAAGUAAUGCUGAUUGUAAUCCCACAGAGUAGAACUGCCAGCAGUGCUAAAUCAGAUUUAAACCUCAAUAGUUCCUCUUUCUUACCGCUGUUUUCCUGCUUUAUUCUUUCAUGCCUCGGUCUGUAUAGAUGAACAGAGCAGGAAUGAUAAAUGUGUUACAUAUAGCACUAUUUAUGCCACAUCAGGCUUAUACGUUUUCAUUCUAGAAGAAAGAAAAACUACCUCUCCUAAGAUCAAGAGGAUUGUUGUUUUACUUUAUGCAUGAAAACAUUCAUGUUUCAGACAGCCAAUGCCUACAGCAAUGAAGAGGGAAGAAGGGAAGAUAAGAAGGGGCUUAGGCAUUCAAGCUUUAUCUUUUUCCCUUCCUUUGUCUUUCUCUCCUUCCAGACACACAAAAAGUAAGGAGCACUCAACAAUUAGCUCUUAACAAACCAGACCAAAACCCAAACAAAUCUCCUAAUCCUUAUCAGAGAGAUGACACAGCAACACAGUAUGUAUAGAAGAAUGAAGAAAAUAUUUUGCAAGUAUACUGGCUCCUGAGAAGGCAUUUUAUGACGGGUUGUCACUUGCUGCCAAUUCUUCACAAAAAUCAUAUUGCACAAGAAACUGUGUGAUGCGAGAAGAUCAACAAUGUAUCCCCUGCCACCUGAGUCCCCCAUCUGACUGCACGUAUAACCUAGAAUAGAAAAGCUGUUUGUCUUCUUAUCCAUCUUUGAAGUCUAGCAGUUCAACGUUACAUACUGAAGGCAGGCAUUAAUAAACACUUAAUGUCAUAUGUCACACUGGCCUGAAAGUAGGACUUUGAAAAGUGUUAAAUGUUAUCCUGGAGAUAUUCAUCCCUGCUAGUUACAAAGCAGGAGGAAACAGGACUUGCUCAUGGCUUCAAUUCUUAGCCUUUGGCAUAUAUCUCAGAGGAAAUACCUUUAUUUCAAAAGCAAAUUCUGAAACUCUUAUUCUGAUUAAAUUGUCUUCAGCAUAAACAGCUGCUGUGUCAUUCAAGUUUAUGCUGGAUACUCAAUGGAAAAGUCCUUCACAGUUGUUUGUGGUUAUUUUCGGUGGAUGAAAUGGGUUCAACAGUAAGCAUGGGUAGAACUUCUAUCCACACAGUAGUAACAGCAAUAGUAAUAAUAUAAAUAAAACAUCAUCUGCUAUUAUCUAGUUUUGCCAAGAAACUUCUUAUCAGAAUUAAGAAUUUCCAGAUCUGUUUAUUUCUAGGUGUUCGUGGAGUACUUCAAUAUAUAUGUUAAACAUCAGAGUAACAUUUCUGUUCAGGAGUGAUGAUACUGCCUAGGAAUUACCUCUAUGCUUUCAGAAGUUGGUCAUUCUCUGAAGAGAGUCCUGAAGACAAGAUCAGAAACAAUAAUGAAGAAAACUUAAAAUAAAAGGUUGGAAUGAAAUGGCCUCCUGGAUGACCAUGCAACAAGAUCCAGACAGCAAAGAAAAAAAAUCAAACCCUCAAUCAAAAAAAAUCAUGAUACUGUUAUAGUUUCCUUAGCAUAGCAUGCCAAGGACCCCAAGCAAAAAUAGUUCUGGUUUUCUCAGCUGAAUGGCUCCUGAAAAAAAGUCUAGAUGUACAGAAAGGAAAUUGGAUAUAAUUCCUGCAGAGGAUGGGCUUUGAUACCACAGCUCAGAUAUGGAAAAUAAUUCAAAGUGUACGAGAGAGGUCACAGAAUUUUGACUGCAGAUAUCUAGCUAUCUCCUACUAUUUCUUUUGCCCUGUCUUUCUCCAGCUGGAAUAUUUCUCUUAAGCAAUGGACAGGAAAUAAUACAAUGAAACACGUUACUGAAAUCAGAGUUCUCUGUCAGCUUCUUACACCAUGAGGUGAACUUCAUUGUAACUCCUCAGACUUUCUGGACUUAAAUAAGGGAGAGAGGGAAUUAAUGAGUACAGUAGGAAGAAUGACAGUAAAAAUAGACUCACUUUCAAGAGUUACUGUGAAGUACAUCAGGGUUUGAAAUUUGCUAUAUAUUGGCCAGGCUUGUAUGAGUUGCCCCCGUUAAAAAAAACACCCAAUUGAAUUCUGGUCUGAAAGAAUUCAGAUCUUAAUUUACAUUGUCAGUAGCAAUUCAUGUGAUUCAGUAACAGGAAAUGUUUGUACUCAAAUGCCAUAAACAAGCCCUACUAAGAAAAGUUUGUUUUCAACAGCUAGAUCGCUUAUCUUUGCUUAGCAUAAGUAUUUUUUUCAAGAAAUCAUAAAGAGAAACAUACAUCUAGGAAUUCUGCACUGCAUAAAAACAUAAAUAUGCCAGACUUUAACUGUGCUUUAAUCAAGAUCAUUUUGAAAUAUACGUACAUUAAAGAUUUAGCUCCUGUUUUAUUGGUGUUCCGGGUCCCACGGCUGACGUGCUGAGCAGGGUGUCGGGGUUGCAUUGGAUGAGCAGUAUCUGCCAUCUGCUGGAGGGACGUGUGCUAGCACUGAUGAGGCUGGAAUGAUUUGGUCAGGUGGCCAAACACAGGAAAACUGAACUGAUAGGACUCCGGAAGAACCUGAGAAAGUGAAACUUAAUGUGACAUAACAGAGACUUUCAUAUGUUAUUUACCAGAGGGGAAAUGAGUCACGAAGUAAUCCAAUGGAAGAGGACUGGAGAUUUGGUUUAAGCCCUGACCAUUGCUCUGUACAGGAUCCCACACUGCUCUCAUUUUAGCUCAUAAACCCCACUAAAAACAUGUUUGUGUUCACAGCAUUUUGACAGAACAAUCCUCCUCUAUCCACUCUGCGGGUAUUUGCCAGAAACAGUGUUAAUAGCAUGCAGCAAUACUGCACAUUCAAAGAGAAAAGGGCCUCAGUCUUCUCUACUUUUUUUUUUUUUUAAUGUAAGUAAAAAAGUAUGUAAGUUAAACCUGGUGAUAAAACAUUUUAAAAGGGAAACAAACCCAAUGUUCCUGUAAUGUUAUUAAUAAUACAGAUGGCUGCUGUUACACAUAUAUAUGUUGCAUACAGAUUGACUUUUGCAAUAAAUUUCUCUGAGAUUUUCACAGAAAA